AGGAACAUGUGGUUUAAUUCGAUGAUACGCGAGGAACCUUACCUGGCUUAAAUGGGAGUGACAGCUGUCGAAAGAUGGUUUUCUUCGGACACUCUUCAAGGUGCUGCAUGGUUGUCGUCAGCUCGUGCCGUGAGGUGUCGGGUUAAGUCCCAUAACGAGCGCAACCCUUACCGUUAGUUACCAUCAGGUUAAGCUGGGGACUCUAGCGGGACUGCCACCGUAAGGUGAGAGGAAGUGGGGAUGACGUCAAAUCAGCACGGCCCUUAUGUCCAGGGCUACACACGUGUUACAAUGGCCAGUACAAAGGGCAGCUACCGGGUGACCGGAUGCUAAUCUCUAAAGCUGGUCUCAGUUCGGAUCGAAGUCUGCAACCCGACUUCGUGAAGCUGGAUUCGCUAGUAAUCGCGCAUCAGCCAUGGCGCGGUGAAUACGUUCCCGGGCCUU
rnacentral:rRNA from 1 species